GCGAGUGGCUGGGCGGGUCUCGGGGAGCUCCUGCGGAAGUUCCUCCCCCGAGCGGGGGCGCGCGACGCCGCGAGGCGUAGGGGGAGACCCCUGGCAACGCACCAGAAACGAUAUCCCCCGAUGUCGAUGAGCUUGAUGCGGCCAGAAGCCGCUGACGAGGCAUCGGGAGCGAGUGGAACGGGCGGCCCGCGCGGGAAAGGCAGACGAGGCCUUUGAGUUGCCCCCACGAGGCCUCGGUGCCGAUUAGACAAAUCCCGCCUAAAACAGAAGGAGGACUACGGGCCACACGC
rnacentral:RNase_P_RNA from 1 species